UGACAUUUAUAGCGUAGUAGACCCACUCCGAACCAUCCCGAACUCGGUUGUUAAAUGCUACAGCGGCGAUGAUACUAAAAGGGGGACUUUUUGGAAAAGUAGCUCGAUGUCAGGACU
rnacentral:rRNA from 1 species